rnacentral:rRNA from 1 species
UACGUAGGGUGCAAGCGUUAAUCGGAAUUACUGGGCGUAAAGCGUGCGCAGGCGGUUAUGCAAGACAGAGGUGAAAUCCCCGGGCUCAACCUGGGAACUGCAUUUGUGACUGCAUCGCUGGAGUGCGGCAGAGGGGGAUGGAAUUCCGCGUGUAGCAGUGAAAUGCGUAGAUAUGCGGAGGAACACCGAUGGCGAAGGCAAUUCCCUGGGCCUGCACUGACGCUCAUGCACGAAAGCGUGGGGAGCAAACAGG